GGACUUAGACCUGCAGACACUUAUCACUGUUAGAUGGGCCCUUCCAAGAGAAUUUGUAAACAGAGAUCUUGCUCUCAGGAAAUUUAACAUUUAAUUCAUAGAACCCAAAAUCACAGCCUACAGAGAAAUGCACUUUCUUAAGGUAAUGUGUUCUGUUUGCCAGCACUUUGACACAAAGAGAAGUGCUGGCUUCAUAGAAAUAAUUAAUCCUCUUUUUCUGCCACUGGGAUAAACAAAGGAAAGAAAGAAAUAGAUGUUAUAAAAAAAUAAAAUCCAAGGCAGAUCAAAGGGGAUGUGGCGGAGGAUUCAGCAACUGCCACCCUUAAGCAAAGAACAGUAAUGAAGAAAUGAGUUUUGGCAGCCUAGCCAAUGGGAUAUGAAAGAAAUUAAUCCCGAAGGGAUGUAAUGACCUGAAAAAAAUGAUGAGCAAAGUCCAGAAGGAUUAGAAGAAAGAAAAAGGCAGCAGACAGAAUGGACUUCAGUGCAACAGGGAAUUAAACUGAAAUCAUUAAAUUCUUUCUGCUUAGCACUUUAGAGAAAAUUUCUAUCAGCCUGCCUAAGGUUGGAAAUGUUUGAGGAGGCAUUUAUCAUGAAAGCCGUGGCCUUUGCUCCUAAAGCUUCGUCUCACAAGUACAAUAACAAAAACUGCUAAUUAAAAGAGGGAAAACAACCAGGAGUCAAACACAAAGGGGCAUCCCUGCCUCAUCAGCACAGAACAAUCGACCGGCUCCCUUCACUGCCCAUGCGAGGCUCCAUGUGAGGAAGCCUGCUCUGCCCUUCCAGUACAGCUCAGGACUAAUUUGAAGACAAGAAACGAUUCCAGUGCCUUGUAAAUUGCGAUCCACAUUGCAACUCCUAGCAGCCACAGUUCAGCAC
rnacentral:lncRNA from 10 species